GGUUAAGCGACUAAGCGUACACGGUGGAUGCCCUGGCAGUCAGAGGCGAUGAAGGACGUGCUAAUCUGCGAAAAGCGUCGGUAAGGUGAUAUGAACCGUUAUAACCGGCGAUGUCCGAAUGGGGAAACCCAGUGCAAUUCGUUGCACUAUCGUUAACUGAAUACAUAGGUUAACGAGGCGAACCGGGGGAACUGAAACAUCUAAGUACCCCGAGGAAAAGAAAUCAACCGAGAUUCCCCCAGUAGCGGCGAGCGAACGGGGAGCAGCCCAGAGUCUGAAUCAGCUUGUGUGUUAGUGGAACGGUCUGGAAAGUCCGACGGUACAGGGUGAUAGUCCCGUACACCAAAAUGCACAGGUUGUGAACUCGAAGAGUAGGGCGGGACACGUGGUAUCCUGUCUGAAUAUGGGGGGACCAUCCUCCAAGGCUAAAUACUCCUGACUGACCGAUAGUGAACCAGUACCGUGAGGGAAAGGCGAAAAGAACCCCGGCGAGGGGAGUGAAAAAGAACCUGAAACCGUGUACGUACAAGCAGUGGGAGCACCUUCGGGUGUGACUGCGUACCUUUUGUAUAAUGGGUCAGCGACUUAUAUUCUGUAGCAAGGUUAACCGUAUAGGGGAGCCGCAGGGAAACCGAGUCUUAACUGGGCGUUAAGUUGCAGGGUAUAGACCCGAAACCCGGUGAUCUAGCCAUGGGCAGGUUGAAGGUUGGGUAACACUAACUGGAGGACCGAACCGACUAAUGUUGAAAAAUUAGCGGAUGACUUGUGGCUGGGGGUGAAAGGCCAAUCAAACCGGGAGAUAGCUGGUUCUCCCCGAAAGCUAUUUAGGUAGCGCCUCGUGAAUUCAUCUUCGGGGGUAGAGCACUGUUUCGGCUAGGGGUCAUCCCGACUUACCAACCCGAUGCAAACUACGAAUACCGAAGAAUGUUAUCACGGGAGACACACGGCGGGUGCUAACGUCCGUCGUGAAGAGGGAAACAACCCAGACCGCCAGCUAAGGUCCCAAAGUCAUGGUUAAGUGGGAAACGAUGUGGGAAGGCACAGACAGCCAGGAUGUUGGCUUAGAAGCAGCCAUCAUUUAAAGAAAGCGUAAUAGCUCACUGGUCGAGUCGGCCUGCGCGGAAGAUGUAACGGGGCUAAACCAUGCACCGAAGCUGCGGCAGCGACACUAUGUGUUGUUGGGUAGGGGAGCGUUCUGUAAGCCUGCGAAGGUGUGCUGUGAGGCAUGCUGGAGGUAUCAGAAGUGCGAAUGCUGACAUAAGUAACGAUAAAGCGGGUGAAAAGCCCGCUCGCCGGAAGACCAAGGGUUCCUGUCCAACGUUAAUCGGGGCAGGGUGAGUCGACCCCUAAGGCGAGGCCGAAAGGCGUAGUCGAUGGGAAACAGGUUAAUAUUCCUGUACUUGGUGUUACUGCGAAGGGGGACGGAGAAGGCUAUGUUAGCCGGGCGACGGUUGUCCCGGUUUAAGCAUGUAGGCUGGUUAUCCAGGCAAAUCCGGAUAAUCAAGGCUGAGGUGUGAUGACGAGGCACUACGGUGCUGAAGUAACAAAUGCCCUGCUUCCAGGAAAAGCCUCUAAGCAUCAGGUAACAUUAAAUCGUACCCCAAACCGACACAGGUGGUCAGGUAGAGAAUACCAAGGCGCUUGAGAGAACUCGGGUGAAGGAACUAGGCAAAAUGGUGCCGUAACUUCGGGAGAAGGCACGCUGGUGUGUAGGUGAAGUCCCUGCGGAUGGAGCUGAGACCAGUCGAAGAUACCAGCUGGCUGCAACUGUUUAUUAAAAACACAGCACUGUGCAAACACGAAAGUGGACGUAUACGGUGUGACGCCUGCCCGGUGCCGGAAGGUUAAUUGAUGGGGUUAUCCGUAAGGAGAAGCUCUUGAUCGAAGCCCCGGUAAACGGCGGCCGUAACUAUAACGGUCCUAAGGUAGCGAAAUUCCUUGUCGGGUAAGUUCCGACCUGCACGAAUGGCGUAAUGAUGGCCAGGCUGUCUCCACCCGAGACUCAGUGAAAUUGAACUCGCUGUGAAGAUGCAGUGUACCCGCGGCAAGACGGAAAGACCCCGUGAACCUUUACUAUAGCUUGACACUGAACAUUGAGCCUUGAUGUGUAGGAUAGGUGGGAGGCUUUGAAGCGUGGACGCCAGUCUGCGUGGAGCCAACCUUGAAAUACCACCCUUUAAUGUUUGAUGUUCUAACGUUGGCCCCUUACCGGGGUUGCGGACAGUGUCUGGUGGGUAGUUUGACUGGGGCGGUCUCCUCCCAAAGCGUAACGGAGGAGCACGAAGGUUAGCUAAUCCUGGUCGGACAUCAGGAGGUUAGUGCAAUGGCAUAAGCUAGCUUGACUGCGAGCGUGACGGCGCGAGCAGGUGCGAAAGCAGGUCAUAGUGAUCCGGUGGUUCUGAAUGGAAGGGCCAUCGCUCAACGGAUAAAAGGUACUCCGGGGAUAACAGGCUGAUACCGCCCAAGAGUUCAUAUCGACGGCGGUGUUUGGCACCUCGAUGUCGGCUCAUCACAUCCUGGGGCUGAAGUAGGUCCCAAGGGUAUGGCUGUUCGCCAUUUAAAGUGGUACGCGAGCUGGGUUUAGAACGUCGUGAGACAGUUCGGUCCCUAUCUGCCGUGGGCGCUGGAGAAUUGAGGGGGCUGCUCCUAGUACGAGAGGACCGGAGUGGACGCAUCACUGGUGUUCGGGUUGUCAUGCCAAUGGCACUGCCCGGUAGCUAAAUGCGGAAGAGAUAAGUGCUGAAAGCAUCUAAGCACGAAACUUGCCCCGAGAUGAGUUCUCCCUGAGACUUUAAGUCUCCUGAAGGAACGUUGAAGACGACGACGUUGAUAGGCCGGGUGUGUAAGCGCAGCGAUGCGUUGAGCUAACCGGUACUAAUGAACCGUGAGGCUUAACCUU
rnacentral:rRNA from 1 species